GGACGGUUUAACCCAAGUAGGAACUUCUUAAUACCGGGACGGCAGUCGGGUUCAUUGUGGGAUCAAUACAGAGACGAGCGGGCGUAGGAGUGGCAAACGUUGCCUCAUUGGACGUCCUGUUCCCGCACGGUGAUUGGCCGGUGGUGGUACUACCAGGAGGCGUUUCCUUUGCAGUUAGCCCCUCUUUUGGGGUGAACGAAAGGGGCAGGUAGGCCCUGACCCUCGCGAGGAAGGAGAGAACACGCGGCAAGUGGAAAAAGACGGAGCUGCGCGGACUGAGCAGUUGGAAAAAGACGGCGCACCGGUCUACGGUGAGGGUGACACGAGGCCGGGGGGUUCAGUCUGUGUUCGCCCAUCAGAGACACAUCACCAGCCACGAUACGGUCCGGUUACGGUCUCUCCUCGCGAGGGUAGCUCCCCUGUAAACCAGGUGUUACACGCUUCUACGUUCUGCUCCUGGACGCGCCGAGCCCUUGAACUUGACAGUGUCCCCGCAUGCUUUUGGACAUUUCCUUAAUUUCAUCGUUUUUAUCCCUCCUUCGAUCGAUCGAUCGGUACCCGCGUCAGUGUCGAGGAUCAACGAGAAAGUGGAGAACAAGGAUUUCAGUGUUUCCAAUCCUUUUGCGACCAGUGCUUGAACCUGUGAUCUGUACGAUUGAACUUAUUUUGAACCGAUCGAAAGCGAGAAUUUUUAGGCAAAACAAGGCAAAGAAUUGUAUAAGAUUGCGAGCGUUGAAUCAGAGAAAGAAGGUUGAGUAAAAGCGGAGCCAACGGUUCGGCUCCGACCUUGUCAACACGUGCUUCUGAAAACAUACAACAAAAACUCCAUCCUCGACUUCCGAUUCGAACAGUGCUUCGUGUCGUUGCUUCCUAAGCCAGAGCUCAGUGUAAAGGUGACUCGAUGUGAAUCAAGGAGACCAACAUUGUUACGAUUACAGUGACCGUUAAGUGUAUUAUAAUACCAGUCGCGAAGGUGUUUACAUGAUCGAAAGUCCAUUGGUACGAGGAAGUGUUGAUUGUUACGGUGCUUGUUUAUCAGGGGAUCGCCUCGUCCGUAUCCUUCAUACUCUCCCAUAGCAUGCGACAGAAGAUUCUCUAAUACAUCUUUGGCAGCAGAUAAAUCAAAGGAAUUUAAACUGAAAUUCAAAGGUGACCUGACGUCUGCUCGCGAACGGUGCUCGGUGAUGAUGCUUAGAUCAGCCUGACACGCCGAUCAUCUCGAACUCGUCGCGUUUUCGGUGCGAGUGAAACCGAAGAUCGUCGAACAGUUGAUAGAUAAAGGUGCGAGUCGAAGUGGACAGGAUAGAGGAGGCGAGUGGACAGAGUGGAAAUAAAAGAUAGUGUACGAACGGGUGGUGCGACGUUCGGGUACGCAAGUCGGCAGGCCGGCUCUGGGGUGCCGGGCCCGGGCGGGGUGAUGAGCUGUUCCGAGGUGAUGUAUCAAUAUUAUCCUUACCUCUACCAGAGGCCACCGCCGCCGCCGCACCCGACCCACCCUCAUGCGGCCCCGCACACCCAUCCCCACACAAAUCCGCAUGCGGCCCACCAUAGUCCUGCCAGGCCGGCGCCUUUUCAAUCCUUCUCCGCGGCCACCGCGACGCAUCAGUACGACAGGUUGAAUGUCCACCAAAGAUCACUCGAGGCGGCGGGCCUUGAAAUUUGCGGAGCUGGCGGAAGUGUUCCGCAAGGGCAACCCAGCAGCGCGGGUUCCGUCGGCUCGGCACCCAGCCCAGCAUCGCCAAGGCCAACUCCUCAACCACGACCACCCCUAGCAUCAACCACUUCACAACCCUCGAGGACGUUGGACGACGACAGAUCGACGGACGCCGUAGGUACUGGUACCGCCGCGGAAGAUUCAGACGAUGGCGAGAGCAGAGCCCAAUACCUGAACCCAAAUUGUGUGGUUUUCACUCAUUAUCGGGGGGAUGCCGCGUCCGAAGUGGAGGAACACUUUCAAAGGGCACUGGCACACGAUAAACUGAAGGAAAAUAUCUCCCCCAUGUCCAUGAGGAGCUUUCCUGCUUCCUUCUGGAACAGUCAACAUCCUGGUGAGGUCUACGAGUAUCCAACGGACCCGUGGCAUCCGCAUUAUUCACAGUAUCACCACAGGUCUCGAAUCGCAGGUCCAGGACUCGAAAGACCUCUACUGGUUCUAGAAGCGAGCUACGGAGUCUCGUGGACCGACCUAAUUCGCAACAUCCGGUGGGUGCAUCCGCGAAAUAAGCACGAGCUCGAUACCACUGAGCCGUUGUUGUUCUUCGAUCGAACAGCUUCUACGAACGAGCAUUGCGUUCCAAGGAAAAGAAUCAGCGGGAAAACGCUGAAUGAUCGAAGGACGAUCGAGGAGCUUAGACGAUGUAACGUGAUAUUAGCAUGUUAGAGGAUCCAUGGGCUUUCUGGCAGAACGAGAUCGAGGAUAGUAGGAAGGAACUUUGUUAUACGACCGGAAGAACGUACCGGGAGAUCGUUCGUGCCGCGUCGAGCAAGUAUAAAUGCAGGUCGAAGAGGAAGAUCGAGGGAGGAGUAAUUAUUUGGUGGAUUUAGCUGCAGAUAUAAGUGAAAUAUUUAUUGACCAAUGAUCUUGCCAUAUAUAUAUAUUAUAAAUAUAUAUAUUACUAUUAUUAAUUGUAUCAUAACACCGGGCGCUGCAGAAAUUCUGAAACCUCUCCGAGUCAGCAAAUUAAAAAUAGUUACUAUCCGAA